GAUUGUUUCCCCUUGGGGGAUGGCACUUUCAACAUGUGGGAGCUUGUCGGGUCACAGAAGAAUGACAGGCUCCUGGGAAGUUGGAGCUAAUGUGAACCCGUCUUUCUGUGUCCUGGUUGCACAUCACUGUUCUUAAAGACUGUGACUCUAUCAGUCUGGAGUGAAGCUUCAGUAUCUGCAUAUCUUUACAGGUACUUGAGGACAAUGAUAGCUGCCUAAAUCUACCACACCACAAUGCAGAAGACUGCACAAGGGAAGAACCUUGAGAACCACAUAAAACUCAGGCUCUGCUGCAAGCCUUUCUUGCAGGCAAAGGCAGUCUAAUAAACAUUUUUUAAAAAUCUUGCAUAGAAGAGAGAAGAAGGGAGUGAGCAGCAGAUCUAAAAUCUUUCUGAAACCACCACUAGGAUGAUAAAGUUAUCCUAACUGUGAAAAUACGGAAAAAAAGUGCAUUACUGCAUCACAGUGCUGAUUACAGGGAAGAGACUUAUAAUACAUGUGCUUUGAAGUGGCAGUCUUCAAAAGGUACAGCUUCUGAGAGAAAAAGAUGAAAAACUAAGAGGGAGGCACUGCAGUGACUGGGUGGUAAAAAAUAAAAGAAGUGGAAGGAAAAGUUACAGUCUUACAAGGCAAAGGGUAACAUGAAAGUCAGAGGGUACAUAACCACUUCCUGCAUCAACAGAAAUCUCAUCCCUGAAAAAAUGUAGACUGUUGCUAUACAGACAGAGGAGGAUGACAAGCCAUUAAACUAGAAAUCUUGUAAACCACCACUCAUAUGCAAAACGAAUAGUAUUGAGAGGUGAAGCUAGCAGGGCUUCUUGGUCGAGUGUGGACUUGGAGAACUUUUCUGUCUAGCUAGAGGAUUGUAAACGCACCAAUCAGCACUCUGCAUCUAACUAAAGGAUUGUAAAUGCACCAAUCAGCACUCUGUAAAAUGGACCAAUCAGCACUCUGUAAAGUGGAAGAAUCAGUGCUCUGUAAAAUGCACCAAUCAGCAGGAUGUGGGUGGGGCCAAAUAAGGUUAUAAAAGCUGGCCACCGGAGCCUGCAGGAACAACCCAAUUGGGUCCUUUUCCAUCCUGUGGAAGCUUUCUUCUUUCACUCUUCACAAUAAAUCUUGCUGAUGCUCACUCUUUAUGAGCUGUAACACUCACCAGAGGGUCUGUGGCUUCAUUCCUGAAGUCAGUGAGACCACGAACCCACCAACCCACGGGGAGGAACAAACAACUCCAGAUGCACUGCCUUUAAGGGCUGUAACACUCACUGCAAAGGUCUGCGGCUUCACUCCUGAAGUAAAUGAAACCACGAACCCACUGGAAGGAAGAAACUCGGGACACAUCUGAACGUCUGAAGGAACAAACUCCGGGCACACCAUCUUUAAGAACUGUAACAGCUCACCACGAGGGUCCACGGCUUCGUUCUUGAAGUCAGCGAGACCAAGAACCCACCAGAAGGAACCAAUUCUGGACACAGGGUGAAAUGGAAUAAGUCUAUGCAAAGUUACCACAAAGACACAAAAAGUGAGAAUUAACACAUUUCAGCUGGAUGAAACUUCUCACCAGAAACAACCAUGAAGAAAAAUAAACAUGUAAGAAAUGAUUCAAAAUGAGUUAAAUAUACUAAAAUCUCAAAUCUGAAGAGCCACUUUGAAUUAGAAAUCUGAAAACUGAAAGCAAAAAUAGAAAAAGCAGAAAAAAAUGAACAGAGUUGAUUGAACUUAGCAAAGAAAUGAUAAAAAGAAGACAAAAUCAUCUCAGAGUGAAGAAGACCGAAAUGGAAGAUAAUAAAGUGAAUUGACGGAACGCAAGAAAAUAAUCUGCAAAUGAAUAUAAGGUAACAAACAUCACAAAGCACCAGCUCCUUUAAUUGAGAAAAGAAGAAAGCACGAUGUACAAAAUAAUGACAAGGGGGACUAACCACUGAAACGGUAUGCAUCUGAGGAGAUGGCGAAGACAUUUUUAACAUCUUUAUCAGGAUCUACUGGGAGCAAGGACAUUACCAACCACAGGAGAUAACUAUAAAGCAUUCCAAAAGUAGCUCC
rnacentral:lncRNA from 10 species